CGCUGGCCGCAGGCCUAACACAUGCAAGUCGAGCGGUAGCACAGAGAGCUUGCUCUCGGGUGACGAGCGGCGGACGGGUGAGUAAUGUCUGGGAAACUGCCUGAUGGAGGGGGAUAACUACUGGAAACGGUAGCUAAUACCGCAUAACGUCGCAAGACCAAAGUGGGGGACCUUCGGGCCUCAUGCCAUCAGAUGUGCCCAGAUGGGAUUAGCUAGUAGGUGGGGUAAUGGCUCACCUAGGCGACGAUCCCUAGCUGGUCUGAGAGGAUGACCAGCCACACUGGAACUGAGACACGGUCCAGACUCCUACGGGAGGCAGCAGUGGGGAAUAUUGCACAAUGGGCGCAAGCCUGAUGCAGCCAUGCCGCGUGUAUGAAAAAGGCCUUCGGGUUGUAAAGUACUUUCAGCGAGGAGGAAGGCAUUAAGGUUAAUAACCUUAGUGAUUGACGUUACUCGCAGAAGAAGCACCGGCUAACUCCGUGCCAGCAGCCGCGGUAAUACGGAGGGUGCAAGCGUUAAUCGGAAUUACUGGGCGUAAAGCGCACGCAGGCGGUCUGUUA
rnacentral:rRNA from 1 species